rnacentral:lncRNA from 1 species
CGCUACAUACAACUCGUCGUGUGAUUCAAAUGGAGCUAAUUGGAUACCCUUGAUUUAAGCUCUUGCAUUAACAAUCUUUUGUUAUCUGUCUUUAUAGUUGCUGGUGUCUUAGGUUUUGCCAUUGGAAAGGUGUCCUACAUUGGAGAAUGCCAAAAAAAGUUCCAGGAAAUUGGUGUUGUACCAUCUGGUCCACAAGGAAAAAGGCGUUGUCGUCAUACUUGCAAAGAAUGUAGAGCAAAAUCAGGAGCAAAUGAGAAAGAAGGUUCAACUCCUUCAGCAUCUUAGACCCAGGUGUGGUGAAGAUGAUAAAAAUGGAUCAGCUGCUUCUUUCAAGGCUUUACUCUACUGAGAAGAAAUAAUGUCUUUGAUUUGGUGUAAAUCGGCUUAUUUGAAGUAGUUGCAUAAUGUAAGGCAGUUCUCUUCACAGUAAAUACCAGUUUCUUGUAAUGCGCUUUUUGAUUUUUUCCUCUUAUCUUUCUUCUCAGCAUGUUUUGGUUUAUUUUCCUCUCUUCAGUGCAAUUUAGCUCCUAGUGCUGAAAAAUUAAAUUUGUCUAUUGUUCUUAGGUGCUGGCCAUACUUUGUGUAGCGAGCAAAGUGGCAUACACUGGAAUGUUUGGCUUAUGUGUCUAAAGGAAAGAGUGCGAGGACGUUUAAAUGAUGUUGUGGUUAAGCAGCUAUUCAGUCUCUGAGCUGACUCCUUGUUUAUGGAGUGGUUGAAGAGUACUAAGCUAGAAGUUCCUUAGGGGAUUGUCACACUGCAGUUGCGGUGCUGAACCAACUUCUGAUAAGCCAGUUUUACAUAAAAGUCCAUUUUGCCAAGGAUAUCAAAAGCACAUGCCACAUGCAUAAUGAACAAGAUGAUACAAUAUUUUGGAACAGUUUGUG